GUUAGUCUCAGAUGAAUCUCACCUGUUCCUCCUCAGAAGAUUCGAGUCUGAAGCGGCGCUCUUGCAGGGCCAAGGAGCAUGUCCCCGUAAAGUGGAAAAAGCGAUGUCUUAUCGGUUCACGAGUCUUCCGAGUAAGAAAGAAUUAUCUCAGGCACUGAAGAUAUCAUAUAACUCUACCUUUGAGCUCUUCAAGAAGAACAGAACCCACUGCUGGAAUAAC